CAAAACUAGUCCUGUCUCUUGGCCAGAAGAAUGAAGCAGACAGACAAAGGGAGGCCUUAGCCCUGAAGGACUCCAGGUUCUCAAAAGUCAUUUAUCGUGAACGAUUGGACUUCAGAAUCUAGAUGGGGAUCUCUGCAAAACUGCAUCCUUAAAGUUCUUAAAAGAGGUGAGAAUGAGGCUCAGGCUGACCUCUCCCUGUGGGUGUCACAGCAUCUGGAGAUAACA